AGAGUUUGAUCAUGGCUCAGGACGAACGCUGGCGGCGUGCCUAAAACAUGCAAGUCGAACGAACUAGCAAUAGUUAGUGGCGAACGGCGGAGUAAUACAUAAGCAACGUGCCCCUAAGACUGGGAUAGCCCGGGGAAACCCGGAGUAAUACCGGAUGCGGCCUUUGAGAGACAUCUCUUAAAGAUUAAAUGGUUUUUCGCUUAGGGAGCGGCUUGUGGCCUAUCAGCUAGUUGGUGAGGUAACGGCUUACCAAGGCGACGACGGGUAGGGGGUCUGAGAGGAUGAUCCCCCCGAGUGGGACUGAGACACGGCCCACACACCUACGGGUGGCAGCAGUUGGGAAUCUUGCACAAUGGGGGAAACCCUGAUGCAGCGACGCCGCGUGGAGGAUGAAGGAUCUAGGUCUGUAAACUCCUUUUUCAUGGAAAGACUUAGGACGGUACCAUGAGAAUAAGCCCCGGCUAACUACGUGCCAGCAGCCGCGGUAAGACGUAGGGGGCAAGCGUUGUCCGGAUUUACUGGGCAAAGAGCGCGUAGGCGGUCUGUUAAGUGUGAAGUGAAAUCUCCAGGGCUCAACCCGGAAACUGCUUCGCAUACUGGCAGACUUGAGGAAUGCAGAGGUAAGUGGAAUUCCUGGUGUAGCGGUGAAAUGCGUAGAUAUCAGGAGGAACACCCAUGGCGAAGGUAGCUUACUGGGCAUUAUCUGACGCUGAGGCGCGAAAGCGUGGGUAGCAAACAGGAUUAGAUACCCUAGUAGUCC
rnacentral:rRNA from 1 species